AUGAGCACUGAGUAAAUGUAGAGAAUUGCUGAUUUGUUAUACUGUACACCCGAAACUAAUAUAACACUAUACAUUAGUUAUACUUCAAUAAAAAAAUACAUCACUUCUAUUAUGAGAAAAAAAUGCUCAUGCUUAGCAUCCUACUAUGUUGAUCUAAUAACCAAGCGUUUUAUUCAUUAAACAAAUAUAUAUUUGACAUUAUUAGUCUUUCUUGUGAGGCGUUACAUUAUUAUGGAUAUAAAUGACCCUUGUUAACACUCAUCGUUGGCUUUCUUGAUUAUUCUUUUGGUAUGCUAAGGUCCCUAAUGAAGACUAAUUGUCCCCAUACAUUUUAUUUCACUUCUUCAUAAAUAAAAUAUUACCUCAGAAGCUAGAUAUCAUAAUUCAUCCAGAAUCUAUGGAUACACCGUUGGUGAAGCUUAAUCCUAAGGCUCACCUCACUGCCACACGAUAUUUGCACCACUACCCACAGUGUGCAAAAGUGUUUGCUCUUGCUAAAUGAAAAAUGCAGGGUAACUAUAAAGCAGAUCAUAUUAAAUGAGGAAUGAAUGAGUUGCAGAACUAGAGGUAAAUUCUUGCCCAAAAGUUGACCUGGUCGACCACGGUCCAAAGUUUUGUACCCAGAUUUAGACCUAAGAUAGUUGAAAUUCUUUCUCUAUUUAUUCCUUAAAGGAUUUUGAAGCUGGUUUCUUUGCUUGGUGAGUUUGGCUUUGUGAAACAGCCUCAUUUUCCUAAUACCUUCUAUCCUUCUUGGAUGUCAGGCUUGAUAGCAUUAGGGAGAUAAAUUAUGGUAACCAAACAUUUUUUUAACAAGUGUUAACUGAUGCUGUGUUACUAUGAUCUUUGCCUUCCCAUCCCAUCCCCGUCUUCUGGGUCUUUCGGCAUCAUUCCUCAACGCUGCGAGCUCUACAGGUGGCAUCAGAGACAGCGGAGGACUCGCAAACGAGCUGGGCACUUUCCUGGGGACUCUUCCUUACAGCAGCUGCUCCAGAAUGAGGCCAGCCAUCUGUCUCCUAAUUCUGAAAAGAUUCCGACAAAUUUCCUACACCAGGUCACACUGUCUCCCUACUUUUGACAUUGAAAGCUUCUCUUCCUUCGCUGAGCUUCUCUCAAAUAUGACAGAAAGAUGAAGGUUGCUUCUUUUCCAUGCCAGAGAGAUCUGUUGAAAUUUCUUGUCUUUGUGCCUUCAUUUGAGGUCCAAGCAUUUGGUUUGGAGAGACAUAAACUUUAUCAUAGAGUUACGUUCACCUUCUGGUUAUGCCAAAUCCCACUCUAGACCUUGGCCCUUAACUCACUGGGUCUCUCCUUGUGUGUUUUUAUUUCAGUGUCUGGACUUAUUUUUAACUGCUCAAAAGAGCUCUGCCAAGGCCCCUGGCUCAGUGCUGCUGAGGGCCUGGUCAACAGAGCAGGUGGUGGCAGCCAGCAGGAAGGAGCAUGAAGAAUCCACAUACUGAGCCCUGGGAUAACAUUUCUCACUUAAUGCUGGUCUACAAAUUAAUUACAGGUUUACUCUGGUUUCAAAUGUGCCAGAGAAGCUUGUCACUUAACGAAGUUCAAAAAGGAAUUCUUUGUAAAGUAAUGAGUCUUGCAAGUAGGUUUUGCUUUGGAAAAGCAAAAUCUAGAACCAUCAUUUAACUUUUUGACAAUUUGCAUUUGCACCUAUUGGAUUUUCUCAAAGAAUGGCUCACCUCUAUUUACAAAGAAUGAGAACCUUCAGCAUAGAGACUAAAAGUCUUGAAUUUUUAUGCUUUAAUUUGCCUUCCAGUCAGAAUUAUCUUGGUUAUUUGCUCAAUUACAUAAACUACCUUGCCUCUUUGGUUUUGGAAAAAUGACAGUUGUAUACUCUUAGGAUGUGAUAAGAUUUGGGGCACAUUCCUCCAAGGUAACUUCAUGGCUUUUCUUUCCCUGUUCAGAGAACUGGUUGUGGCAUGAGGCCUGGAGCCUGCAGUCUGGCCCAGUGAACACAGAAUAUCUUCUCUUGAGAAGACCCAGGAAAUUAACUCUGUUCCGUCUGCAUCAUGAACUAGUCAGCAGAGACUCUGACCUGGACCCACACUCUAGGGCCUGGCCAACAGGAUUAGGCUGCAGAGCACCCCGGAAGGAUGACACAGCCACUUACCUGGGCAGGAACACGUCCAUUCUGGCUCGCCUGAGGCUGGAGGUCCAGAUGUGGAUGAUGCUGGCUGUGAGGUGUGGCUCAACGUGGCUCAGCGGGGUGUCUUUGUCACGCGGCAGAACCAACAGCAGACUCACUGUGUUUCCCAGGGCCUUACAUCCGUUCCCACAACUGCAUGUCAUAAGCCUGAGGGACAUUCAGAUGUGGCCUUUUUCAGAACUAUGCUAUCGAUUCGAGGAACACAGAGGAAAGGUAAGAGCGCCUCCCAUCCCCCUGCUCCCUGAGACCCAGCGGACAGCUUGUGCUAUUAAUGUCACCAAGAACCUAGAAGAAUGUUGAGGAAAUAAUAAGCAUCUGAGAGAGUCAAUAGUUUCCACCUUCUUGGGGCGGGGGUUGGCUGGACUUAUAUUUACUACUUACACAGGAGAUUUCUUCCUUCUCUCCAUAAUCAAUAGUGGACUUCUUUUUCAAGAUAGUGUUUACAAUCUGUGGCUUUUAUUCUCCCCUAGGAGAAAAUCUGGAGCUGGAGCAGGGCCUCUCGCCCACUGGUGAGUCAGGGCACAGCUGAGCAUCCCAAGCUUCUUUCUCCUGACACAUGGAAGCUGGGCAUUUCCAGCAGUCAGGUCCCCUUCCUGUGCAGGCUGCCUCUGGAACAUGGCCCUUCCCUGCUCCUCCUUGCCUCUCCUUCCUCUUAGGCACAGCUCUGUGGUUAUCCACAAAUCUACCCCCACACUUUGUCCCUUCUUCCUGCACUGUCCUGUCCCUCGCCCAGGGCACCUGUUGGAAUGGAUCUCUGACCUGGCUUGGGGCCCAUCCACUCCAACACCCUUCAUGUCUCAGAGGCCCGCUCAGGGGACAGCAGCAGAGCCCCAAGUUGCCUGGCAAAACUUCUCUGAAGGGGCACAGAUGCCCCCAAUACACCCUGGCCGGGGCGCCCAGCCACCGGGCUGCAGCCCACAGCUGUGGACAGAUUUCACUUGCCCAGAAAACUUUCACUACCAAAGCUGCUUCUUAGAAUCCACGACUGUAAAAAACAGACUCGGGUUGUAUAUCUCAUGAUUUGCAGCCUGACUCCUUUGCUUUUAUUUUAAUGAGCAAAGAAAUGGAUGAAAAUAAUACUUCUUGUCAGGUUUUCCUCUACUGAGGAAGGUCAUAUGUAUUUAUAGAAUCAUGUCUCUGUAAAAUGUUGACCAUCUUGCAGGAACGAAGUGAGAUAUUUCACCGGUCCAUAGUGUAGCGUGACCUCCCUUCUGCCCUCUCACCCAAUCUGGGCCAGGGGACCAGCUGUUCUUUGAGGGAUGACAGGCUACAGACUGUUCCUCCCCAGCAGCCUUGGAAAGAGGAACCUGUCACCGCUGGCUUAAUUCCUCUCCCUGCCCCGCCAGAGAGCGUCUUUCUUGCUGGAGGGCUGGUCAGGUAGAUCUUACAAGGGUCUGGGAAGAAAGGAAGCAGAAAGAAGAAAACCCUUGGGUGCUGCACUCCAUCAGCACUGUGAUGAGGGCGGUGUGGAAGGUUGAGGAGAAGGUCCCUGGGAUGUGCACAGAGUGGGAGGAAAGUGCUAGAAGAAGACAUGAUGUUUUCUCAUGAAUUUCUCUUGCUGCGGCUGAGCCUUCUAACUCAUUUGUGAGCCCAGUGUGGAGAGCGCCUUCCUUUUGAAUCAAUGUGUUGAACUGAGCUUCCUGAACGUGACACUGAAUCUGACUUUGUAAAGUUCAUCACUAUAAAAUUCUCAAACUACAAACAGCGAUGCUAAUGUUUUACUUGCCUGAGAAUUACAAGAGGCCUAAGUUGAGGAUGAUGUCAGAGGGUUUGGUUGAGCUGCGGGAAUAAUGAGGAUAUCUCUGAUGAAAAAUAGAAAAGACAAUGUCCUUAUACCUUUAUGCUUCUGCUCAGUGACUUAGAGUAGGAUGAAGGAAUUUUGGAAAGAACAUGGGAUUUGGGGUCAGAGAAUCUGGGACCUGACUCCUGUCUCUUCCACCUGCAGAGUCUUGCCAAACUGUUAGCCUCUUGUCUCAUUUGUAAAAUUGGGGUUAUUCAUUAAUGUAUGUGGUUUCUAUGAGGAUCAAAUGCCAUAAUAACCGUAAAAGUGAAAUUCAUAUUAUCAUCAAACAGAACUCUUUCCCAAGAACCAGGCUACCUUCAUUUCUGAGGCCUCUGUUCCUAGCAUUAUUCUUAUGCUUAAUAGAAAGUUGGAAAGCUUAAAGUGUUCCUCAUCAAUUUACCUAGGAAAAGCACCAGAACUCCUUAGAACUUGGAACAUCAGGAAAUUGUGUCUUGUGCGGUGAUCCUUAUAGAUACCCCUGGGGUCUGUUCUGAGUCUCAUGCUGUGCCUGUCUGACCCGCAGGUGGGAACCCUAGCAAAGCUUCUGGUUGUCACGUAUUGGCUGGAAACACAGGGAGAACAACACAGUGCUGAUGUGUCCCACUGCAGAUGUGGAUAGGUCUUCCUGUUGAUUAAACCGGAAAGAUGCCUCAAGACCCUGGCGUUGCUUUGGAUCCUGCUUUGUAUACAUUUUACUGGUCUGUAUUGACUUUUGAAAGGAAGGCUGGACCUAGGCAGGUAGCGGGCACUGCUGGGUUGUUUUAAACAGUGCACAUGAUUCUCUGAGCUAUGUUGGGUCAAACCAGACUACGGGGGUACUCUCUUAACUGGAACUCUGGAAGUUGCACAUCCCUGUUCAUAAUAAUGAACCACGGUUCUAUGAGAUAACAAAGCAGUUUAUGAGUAAGAAAAAUGGUGGGAUCAUGUUCCACAGAGUUUGACUGCUAAGCAUUCCUCACAUUUGGUAAUUCUCAAAUGGGGUCCAUGGAAACCCUGUUAAUCAUCAUAUUCGGUUAGCCAGGGACCCUGACUAUACCUGACAACAAAGAAUCAACUGGAACCAGUUCCCUUUCUCUGGAGGAUAGCCACACUUGCAUUUCUCACUUUCCCCCCAGUUGUGACUUUUGUGAGUCUCUCUUGUAAGGCAGAAAUGCCUGUCUCUCUUUCACACGCCUAUUUGUUCUUCAUGACCCGGCUCAGAUGGCAUGUCUUCCGGGGCGUCUUUCUGUUCAGCCAGUGGAAUAAAUCAUUCCCUGCCCUGUGCUAAUUUAUGUCACAUAAAUACACUUGCUGCACUGCACGAGGGUGUCUUUCUGUGUGCAUCGUUCCUGUGAGACUGACCUGCUCGCGUUCAGAGCUUUCCUUAUCUGUCUGGAUGCUGAGUUCUUGAACCGCAUCAUUCAAGAACUGAGUUCUUGAAUCAGUACUGCAGCCGAUCUCAUGUGGCUGAAGAAGAAGACCAGGGAUAUAUGCAUUUCUGUGAUAUUCUUGCUGAGAAAAAUCAAGCCGGCCAGCAGGGUCACGAGAGUUGUUUGGGCAGGGGACAGGAUGUGGAUGGGGCGUGGGGAACUGGACGCAUGACUGGUGCCUUGUGACCUGGCGUCUUCAGCAUUAACCUUUACCUGCCACCCCGAGCUUCUAGCUCAAAGGAAGCUCUCACCAGCACUGUGUUGGUAUUCGUUCUUGGAUUUCCUAAAACAUAUUGAUUUAUACAAGGCUAAUGCCCAUCCUUUUUUAUUGGUAUCUUAUUCUAAGAUAGAGAAGGAAAAGCGAUGUGCAUGAGUGUGUGUGUUCGCAUGGAGUUGGUAGGUUGGUUCCGAGGCCAGGUUUUGAGCCGGACGCCCUGAGUGCAAGCUAGGUUGACCUCAACCUGGCUGACCUCAACCUGAGCUUGAGUCCCAAAUCUGCAACUUACUAGCUAUGUGACCUUGGGCAAGUCGUGUAAACUCUCUGUGCCUAUUGGCUCAUCUAUAAAAUAGGGAUG